rnacentral:lncRNA from 1 species
UAAAACCGCCGCUGUUUCGCCGGAGAAAGCAAUUGGGUCACUAAAACUCCCCUCAUUUUCUUCCAUUGGUCUCCAAAAGGUGCAAGAGCUGUUGCUAAGUAGCCUUUUGAAGUAAAACGGGUAGACAUGCUUAUGGGUCGGGUUGCAAAAUUAGCAUCUUGAGCUUUCAAGAGUUCACAGCUAAUUUUGGGGCAAGUGACCGGUAUUACAUGCACGUUCCCAAGACGGAUGCAUGCAAUUUCAGUAUUCAUUUGUUUCAUGAGAUUGUGUAUCCAUCUAAAAGCAGGUUCAUUUUUGUACAUCGCAGGUAGGCAACCGAUAAUAGGCCAUGGUUUUGGACCAGGAGGUAAUUGUUGUCGCAAUAUGGAUUUUUCAUCUUGAGAUAGUGGUUUAUUGGAUUUUAUGAAAUAAAUUAGUAGUAAGGUCAUCGUUCCCAUCAGAAUAGUAAUGAAUGAGAAGCUGAAUGGAGGUGUGGAAAAGCCAAUGGCUGCAAAGCCAUAGCAGUUCUCCAUUGGCUAAACUACAUGCACAUUUCCAUGUAGUAAAUGAAUUUAGAUGAACACUAGUAGUAAAGUUAAAGCCAUAACUAGUUGGGCUGUACCUCAAUCAAAUAUAUAAUAUUUGAAGUUUUCUUGGUUUGGCGUUUUCAUGUUAAAUCAUUUUAUUUUCUUCUUCUUGAAAUGGAAAAUAGUUGUUAGCUAUAUUUCUUAUCCAUUUAUCAUCAUGUUUAACAAAGUUGUGACAUAAUGAAACAAGAAAAAUUUUCUUUUCUUUAAGAUAUACAGCAACGGUUUGACAAUGAUUGUGAUGUUUGAAACAGAUAGAACAAAAAGACAAGAUGCACUUAUUGAUAACCUGCAAGACAUGUUCCUAAUGUUUAUGGAAAUAAUAAUAUGAGUAAAAGAUGAGGAUAUUCCACGCUACGUUCUCAGUAAUUAGUGAUAAGAUUGGUAAAAUAAGAUCGAUAGAAUUAUUAUUGAUAAAAAUAGUUGUGUCAUAUAGCUUCCACUUAUUAAAGGAAAAAACAACUAAAUAAAAAAUCUGAUUUACUGAAGCUUUUGAUCCACACAAAAAAAUAAAAUAAUAAAUUCUAGUAACUAGUUGAUAUUAUUUUUAUUUUUAUCCAUGUUUAAAAAACUCAAAUUUGCAUCAGAAGCCAACCAAUUUUUCUUUCCUAGUAACAGCAUUAUUCUAAUGUAAUUAGUUCUACUAUGAGUAGCAGCAAUUUGGACCAUUUGAUUAAAUAAGCCGACCAGAGAACAUAUUUCCGUAAGGAAAAAUAAUGAUGAAAUAUAGGCAAAACCUAUUAGAUUCCGAUUUGUGGGGCCAUCUAAGAAUGCUAUUUGGAUUAGCUUGAAGCUUUAUUUCACACCAAAAAUGAUGAUCAUGACGUUGGUGAAGGGAUGUUUGCUAGCACUUUUGUGCAACCAUUAGAAUAUGAUCUUUGUAAAUUUCUUGCUAAUUUUGAUAGUGUUCACCUUGAUUUUAUUGUAAUCUAUAAAGUUCGCAAGGCCGCAAAAAUUGACAAAAGGAAGGUUUUGAAACUAAAAGGAGAGUGUUUCUAUUGGCCUGGAGGGAUUAUUUUAUACUCUUUUCAAUUGGUCUGAUGCAAGAUCAGGAAUUCAAGAACUUCUCAUUUGAUCUAGGAGUGUGCAUUGAUCUAGUUGCACUUGAAGAAAGAGAUACACCAAUAUGUUUAUAGAGUAAUAAAGAUUCAGAUUUGAGGAUAAAUCAUUUUCCAAAAAGGGGUAUGAUGCGUGUCAAAUAAUGGAAAAACGACGAGCUUAUGAUGGUCAUGAAGAUCUAAUGCUAAUUAACAUGAUCCAAACAUAUGAGCUUUGAGUCUUUUAAUUAGUUUUAUAUUUUAACUAGCGUAAUUGGCUUUAUUUAAAUUGGGCUUUUUGUUUUAUUUAAUUUUUAGGGUUUCUUAGCAUAUAUAUAUAUACUUAUCAAAGAUAGAUGAGUUCUCUUUGGUUCUUUAUUAAACUUGUUUUCGAAUUUAUCAAAGAUAAUUAAUUUUUGUGGCAUUUAUGCUUUCACCGUAAUAUCUUUGAUUCAUAAUUCUAGUUGAGUACCAUCAAAGAAGAAAUUCCUAACGGGGAAUUAUGGAUUCUAAUUUGGGAUUUAGAGUUCUUAAUUUGAGAUUUAGAGUUUAUAUAUCAAAUUUGACGCAUCACAACACAUGAAAUAAAAGGUUACUUAUGGAAAUCCAUACAUCUCCUUUCUUAUUGAUCAUGCAUGAUUUGGUCAUAUACGUGCGCAGGCAAUCGCGGCUUCACAAGUGCAAUCAAUGGCUUAGCUAGUGCUAAACUACUCUCGGACUUUGUAAGAUCGAUACUUGUCUGAUUAGGAGGCACGAUCCAAGUAAAUUGUUGGAGUAUGUGGGUAAUCCCAUAUUGGAUAAAUACAAUUAAGUAAAAGGGCAUAUAAUGUGAAGGGUGAACCACCCAAAUGGCUUAGGCCAUUUUGUGUUAAAGGUAAGCCCAACUCAUUAUAAGCUCAAUAUUAAGUAAAUAAUUGAAUUUGAUUCGAUUAAUUUGCUCCUAGGACCCAGAUUCUCAACAUAGUAUCAGAGCCUGAGAUCUGAACCUGUAUGAGGGAAGUUCCCGUGUUGGGUCGUACCCUAAUGGAUCCAUGUGUUGGGCCAUUGUAUGCUUGUCAAGUGGGUAGUCCCACUUGAGGGGGAGUGUCAGUGUUGGGUCGUACCUUGAUGGACCGAUGUGUUGGGCCAUUGUAUGCUUGUCAAGUUGGUAGUCCCACUUGAGGGGGAGUGUUGGAGUAUGUGGGUAAUCCCACAUCGGAUAAAUACAAUUAAGUAAAAGGGCAUAUAAUGUGAAGGGUGAACUAACUAAAAGGCUUAAGCCAUUUUGUGUUAAAGAUAAGCUCAACUCAUUAUAAGCCCAAUAUUAAAUAAAUAAUUGAAUUUGAUUUGAUUAAUUUGCUCCUUGAAGAAGUCUGGCAAAUAGCAUCAAAGCCAUCGAAGUCCCCAUUGUCACCCCUGGACACCCCCGUCUUCCUGUGCUAACUGAAAUGAAAUUCAAAUAUGGAUCAAUAAGUGUCAGGUGAGACCCAUCGUUCUUGAUAUGGCGUUCUGGUUUGAACUUGUGAGGUUCAUCCCAAAUCUUAGGGUUCCAGCCAAGACCCACUCUGCUUAGUAGAACAUGACUGCCUUUUGGAAUAAAGAAGUUUGCUACUGUUGUAUCAGUCAUGGAGACAUGAGGAACAUUGAAUGGCACGACGGGGUGGAGGCGAAAGGCUUCUCUUGCGCAUGCAGUGAGUAAUUAAGCUGUGAAAGAUCGGAUUCUUGGACUAGUCUCUCCUUUCCGACAACUCUAUCCAAUUCUUCUACUGUCUUUUCAAGUAUCUUCGGUUGGUUUAUCAUCUCCGCAAUUGCCCAUUCAACCGCAUUUGAUGGGUUAUCUACUGUUGCUAACAUUAUUUCCUGCAAACAUCAUCGCAUUAAUUAAUUAAACCAAUCUUUGGGGUUGAUAGAAAAGAAGAAAAGAAAAUUAAUCAGAUUACCGUAAUUUGAGCUUUAAUCUCUUCUGUUGAUAGCAAAGGAUUGCCAUUAUCAUCUUUUAAAGUAUUUUAGAAUAUCAAGCAAGUCCUCUUCUUCCUUCUUAGUUCCAUCCUUCCAUUGUUGAACUCUGUCUUCAAUUAUAGGAUCAUGAUAUUUUCCUAUAAUCCCAUUAGACUCUUUAAUAAUCUUCUCAUGACCAUCCAAAUCAAAACCCGCCAAGCAUGGUAAAUAAUCAGACAAACAAAAUGCAUAUAAAUGAUGAAGAACUCUAAAAAUAGCAUCGAUAUGCUCUUCUUCUUCAAAACCAGGUCCAACAUUCUUCCUUCCCUUUCCAAAAAACCUCUUAUUAAACAUCAUUUUCCUAAUUACAUUUCCACAAUAGUGUUGGGCAGCAACUCUCACAUCCACUAAACCACCUUCAUUACACUGAUUAUACGCAUAACGGACUAGGUGAUUUGCUUCUUCUACUCUUGUCCCGUAAAACCGCCGCUGUUUCGUCGGAGAAAGCAAUUGGGUCACUAAAACUCCCCUCAUUUUCUUCCAUUGGUCUCCAAAAGGUGCAAGAGUUGUUGUUAAGUAGCCUUUUGAAGUAAAACGAGUAGACAUGCUUAUGGGUCGGGUUGCAAAAUUAGCAUCUUGAGCUUUCAAGAUUUCACAGCUAAUUUUGGGGCAAGUGACUGGUAUUACAUGAACGUUCCCAAGACGGAUACAUGGAAUUUCAGUAUUCAUUUGUUUCAUGAGAUUGUG